UACGUAGGGCGCAAGCGUUGUCCGGAAUUAUUGGGCGUAAAGAGCUCGUAGGCGGUUUGUCGCGUCCGCUGUGAAAACUCGGGGCUUAACCCCGGGCCUGCAGUGGAUACGGGCAGACUAGAGGGCGGUAGGGGAGACUGGAAUUCCUGGUGUAGCGGUGAAAUGCGCAGAUAUCGGGAGGAACACCGGUGGCGAAGGCGGGUCUCUGGGCGGUAACUGACGCUGAGGAGCGAAAGCGUGGGGAGCGAACAGG
rnacentral:rRNA from 1 species